CAAACUAAGAUUUAAAAAUAGGCGGGGGGGGGGGAGAGGGAAUCAAUGUUAAAAAUUUAUUUUAAAAGUAGCAGCAUUAUAUGUACCCAAUCCCCAAUCAGUCCACCUCCCAGAUUUUAAUAUUCCCUGAAAUGAAUCUAAAAAUAUCCAUGCAGGUCAACUGGAAGAUUUUUGUGAUGAAAAACACGUGGCUACUAGAGACUAAUUGGUCGGUCUCGAAGGCCCAAAAGGAAGACAUCAAAACACCAAACAUGGAGUUCAUUUCAGGCUGAUUCCUCAUUCCCACCCUCAUCUACAUCUUCAUUUUGGAUACUGGAAACAACUAAGGAUAGAAAAAAAAGGACUCAUGUCAAAACCAGGAUCAGAGACAGAAAGAUAGCCAGGAGGAUCAACCCCAGAGUUGCCAUUAAUAUUAUAAACCACAGCUCAUUGUAGAACUCAGCGCGCUUGCUCUCUGCUCCCAUCUUCUCUCCAGGAGUUGUUAGUACUGGGCCUACCAAACCCAGAGAAGGAAAAAAGAAAACAUUAUUUCAAAAGGCAAUUUAGUGAUCUAUCGUCCUGUUAUUCUAUAGUAAAUUAGAAAGAAGUUGAGAGCCGUUUGUCACAUUGUGCUUAUUUGCACUUAUGCUCAAGGUGGUAUAAUGGUUCAAUAUGUUAGUGGGCUGUAAUAAAAAGCUUAUUGCACUCUAGAGACCAUGCUUACAAUCCUGGCAUUGCUGUCUGGGCUGGAAAUCACCACAGCAUUGGCAUAUCCCAGGGAAAGGGAGGGAG